rnacentral:rRNA from 1 species
AGAGUUUGAUCCUGGCUCAGAUUGAACGCUGGCGGCAGGCCUAACACAUGCAAGUCGAGCGGAUGAAGAGGGCUUGCUCUCUGAUUCAGCGGCGGACGGGGGAGUAAUGCCUAGGAAUCUGCCUGAUAGUGGGGGACAACGUUUCGAAAGGAACGCUAAUACCGCAUACGUCCUACGGGAGAAAGCAGGGGACCUUCGGGCCUUGCGCUAUCAGAUGAGCCUAGGUCGGAUUAGCUAGUUGGUGAGGUAACGGCUCACCAAGGCGACGAUCCGUAACUGGUCUGAGAGGAUGAUCAGUCACACUGGAACUGAGACACGGUCCAGACUCCUACGGGAGGCAGCAGUGGGGAAUAUUGGACAAUGGGCGCAAGCCUGAUCCAGCCAUGCCGCGUGUGUGAAGAAGGCCUUCGGGUUGUAAAGCACUUUCAGCGAGGAGGAAGAGUUGUGUGUUAAUAGUACACAGCUUUGACGUUACUCGCAGAAGAAGCACCGGCUAACUCUGUGCCAGCAGCCGCGGUAAUACAGAGGGUGCAAGCGUUAAUCGGAAUUACUGGGCGUAAAGCGCACGUAGGCGGUUUUUUAAGUCAGAUGUGAAAGCCCCGGGCUCAACCUGGGAAUUGCAUUUGAAACUGGAAAACUAGAGUGUGUGAGAGGGGGGUAGAAUUCCAAGUGUAGCGGUGAAAUGCGUAGAGAUUUGGAGGAAUACCAGUGGCGAAGGCGGCCCCCUGGCACAACACUGACGCUCAGGUGCGAAAGCGUGGGGAGCAAACAGGAUUAGAUACCCUGGUAGUCCACGCCGUAAACGAUGUCUACUAGCUGUUCGUGGUCUUGUACUGUGAGUAGCGCAGCUAACGCACUAAGUAGACCGCCUGGGGAGUACGGUCGCAAGAUUAAAACUCAAAUGAAUUGACGGGGGCCCGCACAAGCGGUGGAGCAUGUGGUUUAAUUCGACGCAACGCGAAGAACCUUACCUACUCUUGACAUGCUGAGAACUUUCUAGAGAUACGAUUGUGCCUUCGGGAACGCUAAGACAGGUGCUGCAUGGCUGUCGUCAGCUCGUGUUGUGAAAUGUUGGGUUAAGUCCCGCAACGAGCGCAACCCUUAUCCUUAGUUGCCAUCAUUAAGUUGGGCACUCUGGUGAGACUGCCGGAGACAAUUCGGAGGAAGGUGGGGAUGACGUCAAAUCAUCAUGCCCCUUAUGUUCUGGGCUACACACGUGCUACAAUGGGUGUAACAACGGGAAGCAAGCUGGCAACAGCAAGCCAAUCCCUGAAAAGCACCCUCAGUUCGGAUUGUAGGCUGAAACCCGCCUACAUGAAGUUGGAGUUGCUAGUAAUCGCGAAUCAGCAUGUCGCGGUGAAUACGUUCCAGGGCCUUGUACACACCGCCCGUCACACCAUGGGAGUUAGAGGCACCCGAAGCC